rnacentral:rRNA from 1 species
GACGAACGCUGGCGGCGUGCCUAAUACAUGCAAGUCGAGCGGACUUUCCAGAAGCUUGCUUUUUGAAAGUUAGCGGCGGACGGGUGAGUAACACGUGGGCAACCUGCCUGCAAGACGGGGAUAACUCCGGGAAACCGGGGCUAAUACCGGAUAAUAUCUUCCUUCGCAUGAAGGAAGGUUGAAAGGCGGCGCAAGCUGCCGCUUGCAGAUGGGCCCGCGGCGCAUUAGCUAGUUGGUGAGGUAACGGCUCACCAAGGCGACGAUGCGUAGCCGACCUGAGAGGGUGAUCGGCCACACUGGGACUGAGACACGGCCCAGACUCCUACGGGAGGCAGCAGUAGGGAAUCUUCCGCAAUGGACGAAAGUCUGACGGAGCAACGCCGCGUGAGCGAAGAAGGUCUUCGGAUCGUAAAGCUCUGUUGUCAGGGAAGAACAAGUACCGUUCGAACAGGGCGGUACCUUGACGGUACCUGACCAGAAAGCCACGGCUAACUACGUG